GGGCCCGUAGCUUAGCCAGAUCCGCAGACAACCUGCGAAACCUAAAAAGGCCGGAGCGGCAGGCUCAUAACCUGUAGGUCGCGAGACCUAGAUAACUAGGCGCGAGUUCGAAUCUCGCCGGGCCCACCA
rnacentral:tRNA from 1 species